rnacentral:misc_RNA from 1 species
AUUGGCUCAAAAGCAGAUUGGCGGGCACAUCAUGGACGACUUGUCCUGUUCUUGGGAAAUAAGAAUACGGCUCCGCUUGCUUCAGUGCAGGCUAUAAUAUUGUCUCCAUCUCAUUUGAGGACGGAACUAUCAUUAGUACCUGAGACUAUUCCACCACGUGCACAGGUUCAAUGCCCACUUGAAGUUGUUAACCUACGUCCAAGUAGGGAUGUCGCUGUUCUUGACUUCUCAUACAAGUUCGGAACUCAUUUGGUUAAUGUCAAACUUCGCCUCCCUGCUGUCUUGAAUAAGUUUUUCCAGCCUAUCACAGUAGCUGCAGAAGAAUUUUUCCCACAAUGGAGAUCACUAUCUGGACCACCAUUGAAGCUCCAAGAAGUGGUUAGAGGUGUAAGACCAAUGGCACUUCUUGAAAUGGCAAACUUGUUCAAUAGUUUCCAGUUGAUUGUUUGUCCUGGACUUGAUCCAAAUCCAAAUAAUUUGGUUGCUAGCACAACUUUCUAUUCAGAGAGUACGCGAGCCAUGUUGUGUUUGGUUAGAAUAGAAACAGAUCCAGCUGAUAGAACUCAACUGCGUAUGACAGUUGCUUCUGGAGAUCCUGCACUGACAUUCGAGUUGAAGGAGUUCGUUAAAGAACAAUUGGUUAGUAUCCCUACAGCUGCUCGGGCAGCAGCACCACCUGUACCUCCACAACCUCAGCCAACAAGUCCACCACCGCCAACAUCAGAUCCUGGAGCAUUGCUUGCUGGUUUGCUAUAACUGGUUUUAAAUAUGGUGAGAAUUAUAUCCACAUUCAGCGGUUGUAAAAUAUGUUCAUAUUACAAAAGCUGAAACGUCCCAAAAGACAAGAUUGGCACCCUAACAACACGAUGCAAGGGCUGGCGGAAGCAAGGGUUGACAUAGCACGUGAGUGGAAUUUCUGGGAAGGGUUCAGUUGAAAUUUUUGAAAUUCUUUUGCACAAAUAUUUUGUGCUUUGUUGAGGUUUAUAAAAGUUUAGAUAAUAGGGCCUAUUUUAUUUUAUCUUUUGUUCCAUUUAAAUUUUUAUCUUCAUUUAGUCAGGCUUUUACACCAUUGGUUUAUGUAGUGUCAAUAGCGCAAGCCAUUGUAAGUGCUGCUUUGAUAUAUGCUCCUCCCUA